AUUGAACGCUGGCGGCAUGCCUUACACAUGCAAGUCGAACGCGAAAGAGGGGCAACCCUUGAGUAGAGUGGCGAACGGGUGAGUAACGCAUCGGAACGUAUCCAGUAGUGGGGGAUAACCCAUCGAAAGAUGGGCUAAUAACGCAUACGCCCCGAGGGGGAAAGGGGGGGACCCGGAAGGACCUCACGGUCUUGGAGCGGCCGAUGUCCGAUUAGCUAGUUGGCGGGGUAAGAGCCCACCAAGGCGACGAUCGGUAGCUGGUCUGAGAGGAUGAUCAGCCACACUGGGACUGAGACACGGCCCAGACUCCUACGGGAGGCAGCAGUGGGGAAUUUUGGACAAUGGGGGCAACCCUGAUCCAGCCAUGCCGCGUGAGUGAAGAAGGCCUUCGGGUUGUAAAGCUCUUUCGGCCGGAACGAAAUCGCAUCCUCUAAUACGGGGUGUGGAUGACGGUACCGGAAGAAGAAGCACCGGCUAACUACGUGCCAGCCGCCGCCGUAACAC
rnacentral:rRNA from 1 species